rnacentral:rRNA from 1 species
CCUACGGGAGGCAGCAGUGAGGAAUAUUGGUCAAUGGGCGUAAGCCUGAACCAGCCAAGUCGCGUGAGGGAUGAAGGUUCUAUGGAUCGUAAACCUCUUUUAUAUGGGAAUAAAGUGUGCGACGUGUGCGGUUUUGUAUGUACCUUAUGAAUAAGGAUCGGCUAACUCCGUGCCAGCAGCCGCGGUAAUACGGAGGAUCCGAGCGUUAUCCGGAUUUAUUGGGUUUAAAGGGUGCGUAGGCGGCCUUUUAAGUCAGCUGUGAAAGUCUGUGGCUCAACCGUAAAAUUGCCGUUGAAACUGGGAGGCUUGAGUAUGUUUGAGGCAGGCGGAAUGCGUGGUGUAGCGGUGAAAUGCUUAGAUAUCACGCAGAACUCCGAUUGCGAAGGCAG